CCUACGGGAGGCAGCAGUAGGGAAUUUUCGUCAAUGGGCGCAAGCCUGAACGAGCGAUGCCGCGUGAGUGAAGAAGGCCUUCGGGUCGUACAGCUCUGUUGCGGGGGAAAAAAGGCAGCAUCAGGAAAUGGGUGCUGACUGAUGGUGCCCCGCCAGCAAGUCACGGCUAACUACGUGCCAGCAGCCGCGGUAAUACGUAGGUGGCGAGCGUUAUCCGGAAUGAUUGGGCGUAAAGGGUGAGCAGGCGGGCCUGCAAGGCUGGAGUGAAACGCAUGGGCUCAAACCAUGCAUGGCUUUGGAAACUGGAGGGCUGGAGAGCAGGAGAGGGCGGUGGAACUCCAGGUGUAGCGGUGAAAUGCGUAGAUAUAUGGAAGAACACCAGUGGCGAAGGCGGCCGCCUGGCCUGUUGCUGACGCUGAGGCACGAAAGCGUGGGGAGCAAAUAGGAUUAGAUACCCUAGUAGUC
rnacentral:rRNA from 1 species